AGCUUUCUGAAUCCGUGCUGAGAUUUCGCCAGACACCAAACCAUUACGGUUGAUUAGAAUUCCAAGAUAAGUGAAGUU
rfam:Schistosoma margrebowiei strain Zambia genome assembly, scaffold: SMRZ_scaffold0001376